rnacentral:rRNA from 1 species
AUUGAACGCUGGCGGCAUGCCUAACACAUGCAAGUCGAACGGCAGCACGGGAGCUUGCUCCUGGUGGCGAGUGGCGGACGGGUGAGUAAUGCAUAGGAAUCUGCCCAGUAGCGGGGGACAACUUGGGGAAACUCAAGCUAAUACCGCAUGCGCCCUACGGGGGAAAGCGGGGGACCUUCGGGCCUCGCACUAUUGGAUGAGCCUAUGUCAGAUUAGCUUGUUGGUGGGGUAACGGCCUACCAAGGCGACGAUCUGUAGCUGGUCUGAGAGGACGAUCAGCCACACUGGGACUGAGACACGGCCCAGACUCCUACGGGAGGCAGCAGUGGGGAAUAUUGCACAAUGGGCGAAAGCCUGAUGCAGCAAUGCCGCGUGUGUGAAGAAGGCCUGCGGGUUGUAAAGCACUUUCAGUAGGAGGAAACAGUAGCCGGUUAACUAUCCGGUUGCCUUGACGUUACAUACAGAAGAAGCACCGGCUAACUCUGUG